CAGUCGCCGCGGUAAUACGUAGGUCCCGAGCGUUGUCCGGAUUUAUUGGGCGUAAAGCGAGCGCAGGCGGUUAGAUAAGUCUGAAGUUAAAGGCUGUGGCUUAACCAUAGUACGCUUUGGAAACUGUUUAACUUGAGUGCAAGAGGGGAGAGUGGAAUUCCAUGUGUAGCGGUGAAAUGCGUAGAUAUAUGGAGGAACACCGGUGGCGAAAGCGGCUCUCUGGCUUGUAACUGACGCUGAGGCACGAAAGCGUGGGGAGCAAACAGGAUUAGAUACCCCCGUAGUCCCUGUCUCUUAUACA
rnacentral:rRNA from 1 species